CCAUGUGUGUCUAUGAUAUCAGAUCACACUUGCCAGCAUCAUGUGUGUCUAUGAUUUCAGAUCAUACUUGCCAGCAUCAUGUGUGUCUAUGAUAUCAGAUCAUACUUGCCAGCACCAUGUGUAUCUAUGAUAUCAGAUCACACUUACCAGCUUCACCGUGUGUAUCUAUGAUAUGUUUUGUCCUUCUUUUCUUUGUAUUUUUUAUUCAUAAAUUUGUCCCAUUUAUUCAUCUAGAUAUCAACAAGAACAUACAAAGACAGCCAAAAAAGGGGAUUCCUAAUUAUAUAGCAAUAUAUAUAUUAGUUUAUUAUUAUAUAGACACGUUCUUGUUGUUAUGAUUAUAAGGACAUUAUAUGAUUCAAGUGUUUGAAAAGAUCUCAGGCACGAUUUGUAUUCAAGACCACGAUAAGAUGUGAGAUGUAGAGCUAUUAUGAUAUAAUCAUUAAGUAUAUUUACAAAAAAUAAAAUUUUCAAAUCAG